AUGAAGAACACAUUUUCCCUUUUUUACAAACAAAAGGGUUACUUUGUCUUAAACACUCCACCUCCUUCUUUCUUUGUUCCGUCCGUCACUCCCUAUUCUUCUCCAAACCCUAACCAAAAAAUAGCAUCCACCUCUCAUCCCAGAUCCGUAAUCCUAACGCGGAGGCACUAUCAUCUUCCCCCCAUCAACCAACAUUCAAAACCUCAAAUCAAAGGUAACAGUGGUGGUGACGAUGGUGUCACGAACGGUGGUCUGUGA